GGGUUGUGAGGUUAAGCGACUAAGCGUACACGGUGGAUGCCCUGGCAGUCAGAGGCGAUGAAGGACGUGCUAAUCUGCGAAAAGCGUCGGUAAGGUGAUAUGAACCGUUAUAACCGGCGAUGUCCGAAUGGGGAAACCCAGUGCAAUUCGUUGCACUAUCGUUAACUGAAUACAUAGGUUAACGAGGCGAACCGGGGGAACUGAAACAUCUAAGUACCCCGAGGAAAAGAAAUCAACCGAGAUUCCCCCAGUAGCGGCGAGCGAACGGGGAGCAGCCCAGAGUCUGAAUCAGCUUGUGUGUUAGUGGAACGGUCUGGAAAGUCCGACGGUACAGGGUGAUAGUCCCGUACACCAAAAUGCACAGGUUGUGAACUCGAAGAGUAGGGCGGGACACGUGGUAUCCUGUCUGAAUAUGGGGGGACCAUCCUCCAAGGCUAAAUACUCCUGACUGACCGAUAGUGAACCAGUACCGUGAGGGAAAGGCGAAAAGAACCCCGGCGAGGGGAGUGAAAAAGAACCUGAAACCGUGUACGUACAAGCAGUGGGAGCACCUUCGGGUGUGACUGCGUACCUUUUGUAUAAUGGGUCAGCGACUUAUAUUCUGUAGCAAGGUUAACCGUAUAGGGGAGCCGCAGGGAAACCGAGUCUUAACUGGGCGUUAAGUUGCAGGGUAUAGACCCGAAACCCGGUGAUCUAGCCAUGGGCAGGUUGAAGGUUGGGUAACACUAACUGGAGGACCGAACCGACUAAUGUUGAAAAAUUAGCGGAUGACUUGUGGCUGGGGGUGAAAGGCCAAUCAAACCGGGAGAUAGCUGGUUCUCCCCGAAAGCUAUUUAGGUAGCGCCUCGUGAAUUCAUCUUCGGGGGUAGAGCACUGUUUCGGCUAGGGGGUCAUCCCGACUUACCAACCCGAUGCAAACUACGAAUACCGAAGAAUGUUAUCACGGGAGACACACGGCGGGUGCUAACGUCCGUCGUGAAGAGGGAAACAACCCAGACCGCCAGCUAAGGUCCCAAAGUCAUGGUUAAGUGGGAAACGAUGUGGGAAGGCACAGACAGCCAGGAUGUUGGCUUAGAAGCAGCCAUCAUUUAAAGAAAGCGUAAUAGCUCACUGGUCGAGUCGGCCUGCGCGGAAGAUGUAACGGGGCUAAACCAUGCACCGAAGCUGCGGCAGCGACACUAUGUGUUGUUGGGUAGGGGAGCGUUCUGUAAGCCUGCGAAGGUGACCUGUGAGGGUUGCUGGAGGUAUCAGAAGUGCGAAUGCUGACAUAAGUAACGAUAAAGCGGGUGAAAAGCCCGCUCGCCGGAAGACCAAGGGUUCCUGUCCAACGUUAAUCGGGGCAGGGUGAGUCGACCCCUAAGGCGAGGCCGAAAGGCGUAGUCGAUGGGAAACAGGUUAAUAUUCCUGUACUUGGUGUUACUGCGAAGGGGGGACGGAGAAGGCUAUGUUAGCCGGGCGACGGUUGUCCCGGUUUAAGCAUGUAGGCUGGUUGUCCAGGCAAAUCCGGAUAAUCAAGGCUGAGGUGUGAUGACGAGGCACUACGGUGCUGAAGUAACAAAUGCCCUGCUUCCAGGAAAAGCCUCUAAGCAUCAGGUAACAUUAAAUCGUACCCCAAACCGACACAGGUGGUCAGGUAGAGAAUACCAAGGCGCUUGAGAGAACUCGGGUGAAGGAACUAGGCAAAAUGGUGCCGUAACUUCGGGAGAAGGCACGCUGGUGUGUAGGUGAAGUCCCUGCGGAUGGAGCUGAGACCAGUCGAAGAUACCAGCUGGCUGCAACUGUUUAUUAAAAACACAGCACUGUGCAAACACGAAAGUGGACGUAUACGGUGUGACGCCUGCCCGGUGCCGGAAGGUUAAUUGAUGGGGUUAUCCGUAAGGAGAAGCUCUUGAUCGAAGCCCCGGUAAACGGCGGCCGUAACUAUAACGGUCCUAAGGUAGCGAAAUUCCUUGUCGGGUAAGUUCCGACCUGCACGAAUGGCGUAAUGAUGGCCAGGCUGUCUCCACCCGAGACUCAGUGAAAUUGAACUCGCUGUGAAGAUGCAGUGUACCCGCGGCAAGACGGAAAGACCCCGUGAACCUUUACUAUAGCUUGACACUGAACAUUGAGCCUUGAUGUGUAGGAUAGGUGGGAGGCUUUGAAGCGUGGACGCCAGUCUGCGUGGAGCCAACCUUGAAAUACCACCCUUUAAUGUUUGAUGUUCUAACGUUGGCCCCUGACCGGGGUUGCGGACAGUGUCUGGUGGGUAGUUUGACUGGGGCGGUCUCCUCCCAAAGCGUAACGGAGGAGCACGAAGGUUAGCUAAUCCUGGUCGGACAUCAGGAGGUUAGUGCAAUGGCAUAAGCUAGCUUGACUGCGAGCGUGACGGCGCGAGCAGGUGCGAAAGCAGGUCAUAGUGAUCCGGUGGUUCUGAAUGGAAGGGCCAUCGCUCAACGGAUAAAAGGUACUCCGGGGAUAACAGGCUGAUACCGCCCAAGAGUUCAUAUCGACGGCGGUGUUUGGCACCUCGAUGUCGGCUCAUCACAUCCUGGGGCUGAAGUAGGUCCCAAGGGUAUGGCUGUUCGCCAUUUAAAGUGGUACGCGAGCUGGGUUUAGAACGUCGUGAGACAGUUCGGUCCCUAUCUGCCGUGGGCGCUGGAGAAUUGAGGGGGGCUGCUCCUAGUACGAGAGGACCGGAGUGGACGCAUCACUGGUGUUCGGGUUGUCAUGCCAAUGGCACUGCCCGGUAGCUAAAUGCGGAAGAGAUAAGUGCUGAAAGCAUCUAAGCACGAAACUUGCCCCGAGAUGAGUUCUCCCUGAGACUUUAAGUCUCCUGAAGGAACGUUGAAGACGACGACGUUGAUAGGCCGGGUGUGUAAGCGCAGCGAUGCGUUGAGCUAACCGGUACUAAUGAACCGUGAGGCUUAACCUUACAACGCCGAAG
rnacentral:rRNA from 1 species